GCAAGUCGAGCGGUACAGAGAGUAGCUUGCUACUCUGCUGACGAGCGGCGGACGGGUGAGUAAUGCCUAGGAAUCUGCCUAAUAGUGGGGGAUAACUUGCCGAAAGGUAAGCUAAUACCGCAUACGUCCUACGGGAGAAAGGAGGGGACCUUCGGGCCUUUCGCUAUUAGAUGAGCCUAGGUCGGAUUAGUUAGUUGGUGAGGUAAUGGCUCACCAAGACCGCGAUCCGUAACUGGUCUGAGAGGAUGAUCAGUCACACUGGAACUGAGACACGGUCCAGACUCCUACGGGAGGCAGCAGUGGGGAAUAUUGGACAAUGGGGGAAACCCUGAUCCAGCCAUGCCGCGUGUGUGAAGAAGGUCUUAGGAUUGUAAAGCACUUUAAGUUGGGAGGAAGGGUUGUUGAUUAAUAUUCGGCUGUUUUGACGUUACCGACAGAAUAAGCACCGGCUAACUUCGUGCCAGCAGCCGCGGUAAUACGAAGGGUGCAAGCGUUAAUCGGAAUUACUGGGCGUAAAGCGCGCGUAGGUGGUUCGUUAAGUUAGGAGUGAAAGCCCCGGGCUCAACCUGGGAAUUGCUUCUAAAACUGGCGAGCUAGAGUAUGGUAGAGGGUGGUGGAAUUUCCUGUGUAGCGGUGAAAUGCGUAGAUAUAGGAAGGAACAUCAGUGGCGAAGGCGACCACCUGGACUAAUACUGACACUGAGGUGCGAAAGCGUGNGGAGCAAACAGGAUUAGAUACCCUGGUAGUCCACGCCGUAAACGAUGUCAACUAGUUGUUGGGUUCCUUGAGGACUUAGUAACGCAGCUAACGCAUUAAGUUGACCGCCUGGGGAGUACGGCCGCAA
rnacentral:rRNA from 1 species